UACGAAGGGGGCUAGCGUUGCUCGGAAUCACUGGGCUUAAAGGGUGCGUAGGCGGCCAAUUAAGUAGGGUGUGAAAUACCUCGGCCCAACCGAGGCAUUGCGCUCUAAACUGGUUGGCUUGAGUGAGAUAGGGGUGUGCGGAACUUCCAGUGGAGCGGUGAAAUGUGUUGAUAUUGGAAGGAACGCCGGUGGCGAAAGCGGCACACUGGGUCUUAACUGACGCUGAGGCACGAAAGCCAGGGGAGCGAACGGG
rnacentral:rRNA from 1 species